UACGGAGGGUGCUAGCGUUGUUCGGAAUCACUGGGCGUAAAGCGCGUGUAGGCGGCCCACUAAGUCUGAUGUGAAAGCCCGGGGCUCACCCCCGGAAGUGCAUUGGAAACUGGUGGACUCGAGUCCCGGAGAGGAGGGUGGAAUUCCUGGUGUAGCGGUGAAAUGCGUAGAUAUCAGGAGGAACACCCGUAGCGAAGGCGGCACUCUGGGCCGAUACUGACACUGAGGAGCGAAAGCGUGGGGAGCGAACAGG
rnacentral:rRNA from 1 species